rnacentral:rRNA from 1 species
CUAUUAGUGGGGGACAACAUUUCGAAAGGGAUGCUAAUACCGCAUACGCCCUACGGGGGAAAGCAGGGGAUCAUUUGACCUUGCGCUAAUAGAUGAGCCUAAGUCGGAUUAGCUAGUUGGUGGGGUAAAGGCCUACCAAGGCGACGAUCUGUAGCGGGUCUGAGAGGAUGAUCCGCCACACUGGGACUGAGACACGGCCCAGACUCCUACGGGAGGCAGCAGUGGGGAAUAUUGGACAAUGGGGGGAACCCUGAUCCAGCCAUGCCGCGUGUGUGAAGAAGGCCUUUUGGUUGUAAAGCACUUUAAGCGAGGAGGAGGCUACUGGUAUUAAUACUACUAGAUAGUGGACGUUACUCGCAGAAUAAGCACCGGCUAACUCUGUGCCAGCAGCCGCGGUAAU